rnacentral:rRNA from 1 species
GGUGCCAGCAGCCGCGGUAAUUCCAGCUCCAAUAGCGUAUACUAAAAUUGUUGCCGUUAAAAAGCUCGUAGUCGAACUUCGGCCUUUGCCGCCCGGUCCGCCUUUUUGGUGUGUACUGGAGCGGUGGAGGCCUACUUCGUGGUGAACGGCCAUGCUCUUUACUGGGUGUGGUCGGGAACCAUGACUUUUACCUUGAAAAAAUUAGAGUGUUCAAAGCAGGCUUACGCCCGAAUACAUUAGCAUGGAAUAAUAAAAUAAGACGUGCGUUCUUAUUUUGUUGGUUUCUAGGAUCGCCGUAAUGAUUAAUAGGGAUAGUUGGGGGCAUUCGUAUUCAAUCGCUAGAGGUGAAAUUCUUGGAUUGAUUGAAGACGAACUACUGCGAAAGCAUUUGCCAAGGAUGUUUUCAUUGAUCAAGAACGAAGGUUAGGGGAUCGAAAACGAUCAGAUACCGUUGUAGUCUUAACAGUAAACGAUGCCGACUAGGGAUCGGACGAGGAUUUUUAAUGACUCGUUCGGCACCUGAAGAGAAAUCUUUAAGUCUAGGUUCGGGGGGGAGUAUGGUCGCAAGGCUGAAACUUAAAGGAAUUGACGGAAGGGCACCACCAUGGUGUGGAGCCUGCGGCUUAAUUUGACUCAACACGGGGAAACUCACCAGGUCCAGACACGACAAGGAUUGACAGAUUGAUAGCUCUUUCUUGAUUUCGUGGUUGGUGGUGCAUGGCCGUUCUUAGUUGGUGGAGUGAUUUGUCUGGUUAAUUCCGAUAACGAACGAGACCUUAACCUGCUAAAUAGCCCGGCCGACUUUGGUUGGUCGCUGGCUUCUUAGAGGACUAU